GCUGGAAGAAGAAGAAGGUAACGAUGCCAGCUGGUUGCAAUUAAAAGAUGACAACUCUUGAGGACAUGACGGCUAAAAGAGGACACUUUGGAUGUUAAUGUCUGUCGGCGAGGGACACUUUGAUCCUGUGACGUCAUCUGUCCGCAGGAGAGGUGGUGACGUCAUCUGCUCAGGAUGAAGGAUCCUUCGGGGCUAAAAGGGCCAAAGAAGAACCUCCUGCUCUCCAGCUGCUCACCAGCCAGGCCACUGGAACGCUGAUUUGGCCCCGCGGAGCCCCUUCCACUGAAGAGCAGCCAGAUAACUUUAUCUCCUGACCAACUGGCGCCCGCAUCCCCAAGGUGUUCAAGUCAGGACUCUGUGCAGGCCAGUCAAGUCCAUCCACACCAGACUCUGUCAUCCAAGUCUUCAUGGACCUCGCUUUCUGCAGUGGUGCACAGUCAUGUUGGACGAGGAAGGGGGACGCUCCAAACUGUUCC